rnacentral:lncRNA from 1 species
CCUACCUGGUUUGGGAUUCCACGCCUUGAGAGGAUUGUCCGUGGGAGCAAUAAGAUCAAGUUUGUUGUUAAAAAGCCCGAGCUAGUUGUGUCCUACUUGCCUCCUGGGAUGGCUAGCAAAAUCAACACUAAAGCAUUGCAGUCCCCGAAACGACCACGAAGCCCUGGGAGCAACUCCAAGGUCCCUGAAAUCGAGGUCACUGUGGAAGGCCCCAACAACAACAGUCCUCAGACCUCUACCGUUCGAACUCCUACCCAGACCAACGGUUCAAACGUUCCCUUCAAGCCUCGAGGGAGAGAGUUUUCCUUUGAGGCCUGGAACGCUAAGAUCACAGACCUGAAGCAGAAAGUGGAGAAUCUCUUCAAUGAAAAGUGCGGUAGGUCUGCUUUGGAGAGCUAUGGAGUAAGUUCCCUGAUAGCAGCAAUGUGAGUUUGACGUCUACACUGCGGCUUUGGAAAUGUGUUGGUUUUGACCUUCCAUUUCUGCCCAUGUAACUGAGUAUCAAGAAUUCCCAGAACAGGGGUUGGGGAUUUAGCUCAGUGGUAGAGCGCUUGCUAAGCAGGAAA